AUCGAGGCCUGAAAUUGAAGCUUUGACGUCGAAAUCGAGCCUUGCCGGAUUCUGCAAAAUUCUGGAAUUUUUCCGACCACCGAAGCUUUCGAUCGGUAUAUCUCGAGCUACAGACCAUAUUUUUCUGUGAUUCUUGAACCAGUGAGUUCUUCUUGAGUUUCUUAACAACUCUUCAGAAGGAAUCGAAGCCUUAAAUUGACGUUUUUACGUCGAAUUGGAGCUCGCCGUUUUCUGCAGUUUCUCGCCGGUUUCUGGAAAAUUCCGGCCACCUUCAUACUGUUCAAGGUGAUCGACGGUUGGAUUUGGCGGACGAUUCGUGAAAUUGUAUUUUGAGCUGUUAAGAAGACGCAGCGGGAAUUUAGAGCGGGAAAUCCUACAGGUCAGGAGAACCAGGACGGUGAUCGGGCUGCUUAGAGUAGUGUUAUGUGAAUUACAGCAUUAUAUUGUGAGGUGUGUUAUGCUCAUUUAGAGCUUUGCAAUUUUACUUUGUAAGAGUGAAUUGUAAUAAUUAACUCGAGGUUUUCGAGUUUUUGUGUUGAGUGGCGAGUGGUGUGUUUGUUUGUGAGAAAAAAAUUCAGAACGUUAUUUGUAUUAAUUGUUUAUUCAUGUUUCGGAUUUGAA